AUAUCUCAUAUUUCCGCCGUGAAGGUGGUGAAGAAUUCUGAUUAGGUUCCUUUUACAAAUUAUUAUUCAUAGUUCUCUGACAAAAAAGUGCGGCGAUGCCUGAUGAACGUGAAUACCUUCGGUGAAACGUUCAGUUCAAGUUAACUUUCAAGGUUAGAUUUGCGUUAGCUGUUGCUUCCCAUUUGGAUUAUAUUAUCGAGCCUCUCAUCAAAUGCAGCCUUGAAAAUAAAGUUUUUUGAAGGGCCUCCAGCACUCCAACUUGCUCCUUCUCUCCGAAUUUCCUACAUCCUGGAUUAAGAAAGCGGCUACUAUUCUAUGACAUG